rnacentral:rRNA from 1 species
AUACGUAGGGUGCAAGCGUUAAUCGGAAUUACUGGGCGUAAAGCGUGCGCAGGCGGUUUUGUAAGACAGUUGUGAAAUCCCCGGGCUCAACCUGGGAACUGCCAUUGUGACUGCAAGGCCGGAGGGCGGCAGAGGGGGGUGGGAUUCCGCGUGUAGCGGUGAAAUGCGUAGAUAUGCGGAGGAACACCGAUGGCGAAGGCAAUCCCCUGGGCCUGCACUGACGCUCAUGCACGAAAGCGUGGGGAGCAAACAGGAUUAGAUACCCUGGUAGUCCACGCCCUAAACGAUGUCAACUGGUUGUUGGGGAUUUAUUUUCUCAGUAACGAAGCUAACGCGUGAAGUUGACCGCCUGGGGAGUACGGCCGCAAGGUUAAAACUCAAAGGAAUUGACGGGG